ACUCAAAUGAAUUGACGGGGACCUGCACAACCAGUGGAGCAUGUGGUUUAAUUCGAGACGAAACGAAGGACCUUACCCAGAUUUGACAUGCUACCGUGUUAGUUUUUUAGAAAUAAGAAGCGAUCUUUUAGAAAUAAAAGAAGGUAGCACAGGUGUUGCAUGGCUGUCGUCAGCUCGUGCCGUGGGGUGUUCCCUUCAGUGGGGUAACGAGCGCAACCCCUGCCCUGAGUUAAAUAUUCUCAGGGGACUAUUCUGUUUUACAGAGAGGAAGCGGGGACGACGUCAAGUCAGCAUGGCCCUUAUAUCUGGGGCGACACACAUGCUACAAUGAAGCCGACAAUAGGUUGCCAACGAGUAAUCGGGAGCUAAUCCUAUCAAACGGCUUCUCAGUGGGGAUUGAGGGCUGCAACUCGCCCUCAUGAACGAGGAAUUGGUAGUAAUCGCGGGUCAGCGAUACCGCGGUGAAUACGUUCUCAGGUCUUGUACACACCGCCCGU
rnacentral:rRNA from 1 species